UGCCCAAAUUCAUUGAAUUUCAACUUUUAUUUUUUCUUAAUGUUGAAAGACAUAUAUGCAAAUUUUAUUAACAAUAUGCGUGGUUAAAUUUAGCUGUAAAUUCCAGUCAGGGAUUUUUGCUUUGUUUAUUGUCCAAGUCAAUAUGUCUGUGGAGAAAACCUCCUGCUGUGCAGGAAUACAUAGUCAGCUACUUGGAAAAGUAGAAAGUUUAAUUAUGAGAGUUUAUUCUGGAAAAAGGUAAAGCAAGCACUGUUUUUUGGGCUGGGUUUUUUUUAAUUAUGAUUUCAGCUAACAGAAAUUCAAAUACACAGUUUGUUUUGACACUAACUGUUAUCAGACAAACCACUUGAUUUUUCUUUAACCUGGUCUUCUGUGCAACUGAGAGGUUCUGAAAGAAAGUAGAGGUCAUGAAUAAAUGAUGCAUUUCUUAAACUUGCAAAGUAAAUCAUGACAUAAAUGAAAUAAACUCCAAGUGUGAAGGGAAAAAAGAAUCAUAAACACAUGUAUUGCUGACAAUAUCUUCAUUAAAAUAUACUUUACCCUACGAAGAUAUUAGUGUCAGAUGCAAAUUUCCUUUGUUGCUCUCUCUGAAGUUAUUCUGAUUUUUUUGUGUGGUAACAGGGAAGUUCCUGUAUACAAGGUUUUUGAGUGGAAGGGUAACUUAUUGCCGGGGAGUAUGUGUUAUAAAUGAUAUCCAAACAUAUUCUUGUGUUUGUAACAGAAAGCCCUCCAAGACUGUAGUUACUGGAGUGGUUCCCAUGUGUUCAGUUUUUUGAGACAGGCUCGAGAGGCACGGACUCCGACGUCUCGUGGGAGCAGUCCUUGAACCCGAUUGCCAGAGAUCUGAAGGUGCCUAAUCUCCUGCAGAACUGAGCAGAACUUCAUGUUCCUAAGUAGGAUUCAAUUCAUGCUGUUUGGCUGAUCGAUGGCCAUGAGUGUUCCAUGUGUAAGUA